rnacentral:rRNA from 1 species
GACGAACCGUGCGAACGUUAUUCGGAAUCACUGGGCUUAAAGGGCGCGUAGGUGGUUGAUCAAGUCUGGGGUGAAAUCUUUCGGCUUAACCGGAAAAGUGCCUUGGAUACUGGUCAGCUGGAGGGAGGUAGGGGCAGUUGGAACUUCCAGUGGAGCGGUGAAAUGCGUUGAUAUUGGAAGGAACACCUGUGGCGAAGGCGGCCCCCUGGUUGGAUACUGACGCUGAUACGCGAAAGCGUGGGGAGCAAACAGG